UUUCCGUAGGUGAACCUGCGGAAGGAUCAUUAAAGAGAAUAUGCCCUUCGGGGUAGAUCUCCCACCCUUUGUUUAUAUUACCUUUGUUGCUUUGGCAGGCCCGUCUUCGGCCACCGGCUUCGGCUGGUCAGUGCUUGCCAGAGGAUCAAAAACUCUUAUUAUUAAUGUCGUCUGAGUACUCUAUAAUAGUUAAAACUUUCAACAACGGAUCUCUUGGUUCUG
rnacentral:misc_RNA from 1 species